AGCAAGUUGUGGCUAACUAUAAUGAGUCCCUAAUUAAAGAUCACCAUUCAGAUUCAAAUGAAAGGCUGGAAAGUGGAUUAGGUCUUUGAUCACAUUUUUCUAUUAUGUAUUCCAGCUAUGCUUUGACUAUCUGGUAUGGUGCAAGGUUCAUCUCAGGAAAAGGAUAUACUGGUGGUCAAGUUCUCAAUGUUUUCGACUCCAAGCUUCUCCAUGAAGUAGCAAGCUAUUUACUUUUUAAGAGGUCGCUUCUGCCAGCUUGAGCUAAGAUAUUUCGUCAAAGUAGAUCACAUCAAUUUGCCCAGUUGGAUUUCAAAUACUGUUUUCCAAUCCCAAGAAUGUUAAAAUUGUCGGUUGCCUAAUGACACGGUUGAAGGCGGGGUCUGAAGCAGAGUUUUUCAGGGGUUACCCAACCCCAAGUGGUCCUUAUUGGAUGGAACUUUCCAUUUGACUCUUUCUAAAGAGUCUCAUGAUCUGGAUACGGAUAGCCAAGAUUGUUUUGAUGAAGAGACCAAGAUUUGCUGGAGGAAUUUGGGAAAGUUGCUACUUAUGGAGGAAAUGGAAGUAGCAAUUGUAUUCGAAUCUUCAAGCGCAGGGCUGAAAAAAAGGCGAGUCUUCUUAACUACCUACAGUUGAGAUUUGUUUUUUUUCCCUCACAAUCUUGACUGUUCUUACGUUGUUCCAUAAUAGAAAAUAUCUUCCUUUUUUGAGAUAUUCGAUUAUUGAAAAAGAAUAUUUUCUUGGGUUCCCGAAUGAAUGGAACAAUCUCACUUGGUAGUUAAGGAACUAGGGAGUAGGGAGAAUAAUUUAGCAAAGAUGGUAUGUUGGUUACUCCAGCUCUUUUGUUGCCUCAACGUUCCAGAUUUACAAGUAAAUUAAUAUGUACUAUGUGUUAGUUUACCUGAAACAACUAUUACUUUAACCACAUGAUGUUGGUUGAUCUUAGUAGAUACUUUUACAACUAUUCGGAUUUGACAUUACAUCUUAGUAUGAUCGUGAGAAAUAAU